AGAUUGAACGCUGGCGGCAGGCCUAACACAUGCAAGUCGAGCGAGAAAGGGUUUCGGCCUGAGUAGAGCGGCGGACGGGUGAGUAACGCGUGGGAAUUUGCCCGAUAGAGGGGGAUAACUUGGGGAAACCCAAGCUAAUACCGCAUAGACCCUGAGGGGUAAAGGUGGCCUAUCCUUGGAAGCUACCGCUAUCGGAGAAGCCCGCGUCGGAUUAGCUAGUUGGUGGGUAAAGCCUACCAAGGCGAUGAUCCGUAGCUGGUCUGAGAGGAUGACCAGCCACACUGGGACUGAGACACGGCCCAGACUCCUACGGGAGGCAGCAGUGGGGAAUAUUGGACAAUGGGGGCAACCCUGAUCCAGCCAUGCCGCGUGUGUGAAGAAGGCUUUCGGGUGUAAAGCACUUUAGUUGGGAGAAGGCGUUUGUGUGAAUAUGCAGUACGUUUGACGUUACCAAGAAUAAGCACGCUAACUCGUGCCAGCAGCCGC
rnacentral:rRNA from 1 species